GGUUUUUGUUAUGGCUCAGGAUGAACGCUAGCGGCAGGCUUAACACAUGCAAGUCGAGGGGUAACAGAAGUAGCUUGCUACUUGCUGACGACCGGCGCACGGGUGCGUAACGCGUAUAGAAUCUACCUUGUACUAGGGGAUAGCCUUUGGAAACGAAGAUUAAUACCCUAUAGUAAGUAUUUAUGGCAUCAUUUAUACUUUAAAGGUUACGGUACAAGAUGACUAUGCGUCCUAUUAGUUUGUUGGUGAGGUAACGGCUUACCAAGACAUCGAUAGGUAGGGGCCCUGAGAGGGGGAUCCCCCACACUGGUACUGAGACACGGACCAGACUCCUACGGGAGGCAGCAGUGAGGAAUAUUGGACAAUGGAGGCAACUCUGAUCCAGCCAUGCCGCGUGCAGGAUGACGGCCCUAUGGGUUGUAAACUGCUUUUAUGUAGGAAGAAACACUCUCACGUGUGAGAGCUGACGGUACUACAAGA
rnacentral:rRNA from 1 species